rnacentral:rRNA from 1 species
GAUGAACGCUGGCGGCGUGCCUAAUACAUGCAAGUCGAGCGAACGGACGAGAAGCUUGCUUCUCUGAUGUUAGCGGCGGACGGGUGAGUAACACGUGGAUAACCUACCUAUAAGACUGGGAUAACUUCGGGAAACCGUAGCUAAUACCGGAUAAUAUUUUGAACCGCAUGGUUCAAAAGUGAAAGACGGUCUUGCUGUCACUUAUAGAUGGAUCCGCGCUGCAUUAGCUAGUUGGUAAGGUAACGGCUUACCAAGGCAACGAUGCAUAGCCGACCUGAGAGGGUGAUCGGCCACACUGGAACUGAGACACGGUCCAGACUCCUACGGGAGGCAGCAGUAGGGAAUCUUCCGCAUUGGGCGAAAGCCUGACGGAGCAACGCCGCGUGAGUGAUGAAGGUCUUCGGAUCGUAAAACUCUGUUAUUAGGGAAGAACAUAUGUGUAAGUAACUGUGCACAUCUUGACGGUACCUAAUCAGAAAGCCACGGCUAACUACGUG